rnacentral:ncRNA from 1 species
AACUCAUCCAGAGGGGCAGAGGGACCGGCCCGACGAAGCCCCGGCAACCGGCCGACCGCCGACGAGUGUGUCUCGCGUUCAUGCAGGCCCCGCGGCGGCCACGGUGCCAACUCCGGCCCACGACUCCACGUCCGGGAAGACCUCCCGACCUGGCGUACGCGGGAAAGAUGAGGA